rnacentral:rRNA from 1 species
CAGCCGCCGCGGGAAUACGAAGGGGGCUAGCGUUGUUCGGAUUUACUGGGCGUAAAGGGCGCGUAGGCGGACUGAUAAGUCAGGGGUGAAAUCCCAAGGCUCAACCUUGGAACUGCCUUUGAUACUGUUUGUCUUGAGUUCGAGAGAGGUAAGUGGAACUGCGAGUGUAGAGGUGAAAUUCGUAGAUAUUCGCAAGAACACCAGUGGCGAAGGCGGCUUACUGGCUCGAAACUGACGCUGAGGCGCGAAAGCGUGGGGAGCAAACAGGAUUAGAUACCCGCGUAGUCCCUGUCUCUUAUAC